AACGAACGCUGGCGGCAUGCCUAAAAAAGGAAAGUAGAACGAGACAUUAGGGUCUAGUGGAGAAAGGGUGAGUAACGCGUGGGAAUAUGUGCUUGGGUUGGGAAUAACAGUUGGAAAAGACUGCUAAUAAAGGAUGAUGACGUAAGUCCAAAGAUUUAUCGCCCAAGGAUGAGCCCGCGUAGGAUUAGCUAGUUGGUGAGGUAAAGGCUCACCAAGGCGACGAUCCUUAGCUGGUCUGAGAGGAUGAUCAGCCACACUGGGACUGAGACACGGCCCAGACUCCUACGGGAGGCAGCAGUGGGGAAUAUUGGACAAUGGGCGAAAGCCUGAUCCAGCAAUGCCUCCUGCUUCCUUCCAACCUUAGUGUUGUAAAGCUCUUUUACCCUGGAUGAUAAUGACAGUACCGGGAGAAUAAGCUCCAACUCACUCCGUG
rnacentral:rRNA from 1 species